rnacentral:rRNA from 1 species
UGCCAGCAGCCGCGGUAAUACGGAGGGUGCGAGCGUUAAUCGGAAUCACUGGGCGUAAAGCGUACGUAGGCGGUUAGUUAAGUCAGCUGUGAAAGCCCCGGGUUCAACCUGGGAACUGCAGUUGAUACUGGCCAACUAGAGUGCAAGAGAGGGAGGUAGAAUUCCACGUGUAGCGGUGAAAUGCGUAGAUAUGUGGAGGAAUACCGGUGGCGAAGGCGACCACCUGGCCAGGUACUGACGCUGAGGUGCGAAAGCGUGGGGAGCAAACAGGAUUAGAUA